rnacentral:rRNA from 1 species
UCGAACGAUGAACCACUUCGGUGGGGAUUAGUGGCGAACGGGUGAGUAACACGUGGGCAAUCUGCCCUUCACUCUGGGACAAGCCCUGGAAACGGGGUCUAAUACCGGAUACCACCUUCACUGGCAUCUGUGAAGGUUGAAAGCUCCGGCGGUGAAGGAUGAGCCCGCGGCCUAUCAGCUUGUUGGUGAGGUAAUGGCUCACCAAGGCGACGACGGGUAGCCGGCCUGAGAGGGCGACCGGCCACACUGGGACUGAGACACGGCCCAGACUCCUACGGGAGGCAGCAGUGGGGAAUAUUGCACAAUGGGCGAAAGCCUGAUGCAGCGACGCCGCGUGAGGGAUGACGGCCUUCGGGUUGUAAACCUCUUUCAGCAGGGAAGAAGCGAAAGUGACGGUACCUGCAGAAGAAGCGCCGGCUAACUACGUGCCAGCAGCCGCGGUAAUACGUAGGGCGCAAGCGUUGUCCGGAAUUAUUGGGCGUAAAGAGCUCGUAGGCGGCUUGUCACGUCGGGUGUGAAAGCCCGGGGCUUAACCCCGGGUCUGCAUUCGAUACGGGCUAGCUAGAGUGUGGUAGGGGAGAUCGGAAUUCCUGGUGUAGCGGUGAAAUGCGCAGAUAUCAGGAGGAACACCGGUGGCGAAGGCGGAUCUCUGGGCCAUUACUGACGCUGAGGAGCGAAAGCGUGGGGAGCGAACAGGAU